AUAUAAUAUUACAGUAUAGUGGUAUAGUUCAAUAUAGUAAUAUAUAAUGCUAAUAUUGUGCUAUGCUAAUAAUAUAAUAUAUUGUAUGUACAUACAGCUGUUCUGAGUCCCCUUUGGGGUGAAAAGGGGGGGAUAAAAAUGUAAUAAAUAAAUGUAGUAAAUGAAUAGAUAAAUAAUUUUAGAUUUAGGGUCUCCCAAAGUCUGAAAUGACUUGAAGGCACACAACAAUCUUAAUUAAUUGGCCAGAAGCAGGUCCACACUUCCCAUGGAAAUCCUGAUAGGUUUAUGUUGGUUACAAUUGUUUUUAUUUUUAAAUACUGUAUUGUUCUUUCAUUGUUGUUGUUUUGCACUACAAAUAAGACAUAGAAUCAUAGAAUAGUAGAGUUGGAAGAGACCACAUGGGCCAUCCAGUCCAACCCCCUGCUAAGAAGCAGGAAAUCGCAUUCAAAGCACCCCCGACAGAUGGCCAUCCAGCCUCUGCUUAAAAGCCUCCAAAGAAGGAGCCUCCACCACGGCCCGGGGGAGAGAGUUCCACUGCCGAACAGCCCUUCUCACCGUGAGGAAGUUCUUCCUGAUGUUCAGACGGAAUCUCCUUUCCUGUAGUUUGAAGCCAUUGUUCCGUUGUGUCCUAGUCUCCAAGACUUGCUCCCUCCUCCCUAUGACUUCCCCUCACGUAUUUGUACAUGGCUCUCAUGUCUCCUCUCAGCCUUCUCUUCUGCAGGCUAAACAUGCCCAGCUCUUUAAGCCGCUCCUCAUAGGGCUUGUUCUCCAGACCCUUCAUCAUUUUAGUCGCCCUCCUCUGGACGCUUUCCAGCUUGUCAACAUCUCCCUUCAACUGCGGUGCCCAGAAUUGGACACAGUGUGAUUCCAGGUAACGUGGUCUGACCAAGGCAGAAUAGAAUAAGGGGGAGCAGGACUUCCCUGGAUCUAGACGCUAUUCCCCUAUUGAUGAGGCCAAAAUCCCGUUUGCUUUUUUAGCUGCCGCAUCACAUUGUUGGCUCAUGUUCAUCUUCCUCCCCACGAGGACUCCAAGGUCUUUUUCGCACACACUGCUGUCAAGCCAGGCCUCGUCCCCCAUUCUGUCUCUUUGAUUUCCAUUGUGGAAUAUCUUGCAUUUGUCCCUGUUGAACUUCAUUGUGUUCAUUUCGGCCAAUCAUCUCUCUAGUCUGUCAAGAUCGUUUUGAAUUCUGCUCCUGUCUUCUGGAGUGUUGGCUCUCCCUCCCAGUUUGGUGUCGUCUGCAAACUUGAUGAUCGUGCCUUCUGACCCUUCGUCUAAGUCGUUAAUAAAGAUGUUGAACAGAACCGGGCCCAGGACGGAGCCCUGCUUGUGGCACUCCACUUGUCACUUCUUUCCACGAUGAAGACGACGCAUUGGACAAACACCACGAUGCUGCUCAUGAAAUCAUUGAGACAAUUCGGUGGGUCUGCGAGGAAAUCCCAGACCUCAAGCUCGCCAUGGAGAACUACGUCCUCAUUGACUACGAUACUAAAAGCUUCGAAAGCAUGCAACGGCUUUGCGACAAAUACAACCGUGCCAUCGACAGCAUUCACCAAUUGUGGAAAGGCACCACCCAGCCCAUGAAGCUCAACACCCGCCCGUCCAACGGCCUGCUCCGCCACAUCCUCCAGCAAGUCUACAACCACUCGGUGACCGACCCGGAGAAACUCAACAACUACGAGCCCUUCUCCCCGGAAGUCUACGGCGAGACCUCCUUCAACCUGGUGGCCCAGAUGAUCGACGAGAUCAAGAUGACCGAGGACGACCUCUUCGUCGACUUGGGCAGCGGUGUGGGUCAGGUUGUCCUCCAGGUUGCCGCGGCCACCAACUGCAAGCAUCACUACGGCGUGGAGAAAGCCGACAUCCCAGCCAAAUACGCAGAGACGAUGGACAAAGAAUUCAGGCGGUGGAUGAAAUGGUACGGGAAGAAACACGCAGACUACACACUGGAAAGAGGCGACUUCCUCUCGGAAGAGUGGCGAGAGAGGAUCGCAAACACGAGCGUUAUCUUUGUGAAUAAUUUUGCCUUUGGUCCGGAGGUGGAUCACCAGCUGAAGGAGCGUUUUGCCAACAUGAAGGAAGGGGGUCAGAUUGUUUCCUCGAAACCCUUUGCGCCUCUGAACUUCAGGAUCAACAGCCGGAACUUGAGCGAUAUUGGCACCAUCAUGCGAGUGGUGGAGUUGUCGCCCCUGAAAGGAUCCGUCUCCUGGACCGGGAAACCCGUUUCUUACUACCUGCAUACUAUCGAUCGGACCAUACUUGAAAACUACUUCUCUAGUCUCAAAAAUCCAAAACUCAGGGAGGAGCAAGAGGCAGCUAGGCGCAGGCAGCAGCGGGAGAACAAGAGCAACACCACAACGCCCACAAAAGUCCAGGAGAGCAAGCAGGAGGAGGGGGCGGAGGACGAGAAGGCCCCGGGGCCCAACGCCCUGAAGAAGGCCUCCCCGUCCAAACCCCGCAAGAAGAAGCUGAGCAAGAAGGGCCGCAAGAUGGGCGGGCGCAAGCGGGGCCGGCCCAAGAAGAUGAGUGUGGGCGGGGCAACCGAGCGCAAGGCCAAGAAGAGCCCGGCGGCCGCGGCGGCCGAGAUGCUCCACUCCCAGACCGCCUCCCAGGCCUCUUCCUCCUCUCCUCAGGAUGCCUACCGGUCACCUCACAGCCCUUUCUACCAACUACCUCCGAAAGUGCAGCGGCACUCGUCCAACCAGCUCCUGGGGGCCCCCACCCCGCCUGCACUCCAGAAGCUGCUCGACUCCUUCAAGAUCCAGUACCUGCAGUUCAUGGCCUACAUGAAGACCCCGCAGUACAAGGCCAACCUGCAGCAGUUGCUGGAAGAGGAGAAGGAAAAGAAUACUCACUUGCUCGGCAAGGCCCAGCAGUUGUUUACUCACUGUCAGGCGCAAAAGGAAGAGAUCAAGCGACUGUUCCAGCAAAAGCUGGAUGAGCUUGGGGUGAAGGCCCUGACCUACAACGACCUCAUCCAGGCGCAGAAGGAGAUCUCGGCCCACAACCAGCAGCUGAAGGAGCAGAGCAAACAGUUGGAGAAGGACAACGGAGAGCUCCGGAGCCAGAGUUUGCAGCUGCUGAAGGCCCGUUGCGAGGAGCUGAAGCUGGACUGGUCGACCCUUUCACUGGAGAACCUGCUCAAGGAGAAGCAAGCACUGAAGAGCCAGAUCUCCGAGAAGCAGAAGCACUGCUUGGAGUUGCAGAUCAGCAUUGUGGAGCUGGAGAAGAGCCAGCGGCAGCAGGAGCUGCUCCAGCUGAAGUCGUGCAUGCCGCCCGAGGAGUCCCUGCUGGCCCCGCCGCCCCGACACAAGGGCCCCCCCACCCGCGAGGCCGACCCCGACCCGGGCCUCUUCCCGCUGGAGCCGGAGGGCGCCAAGUUCCCGGCCCCCCUGCCCCCCCACCUCAACGGCAUGAGCCCCGAGCUCUCCAUGAACGGCCACGCCACGCCCUACGAGCUCCAGGGCGCCCUGGGACGGCCCCCCUCCAAGCAGAGCACCCCGCACUACCUGCCCCCCCACCUGGACCCCGACCUCGUCCCCUCCACGCCCAGCCACGGGCCCCGGCACAAGGCCGACCGGACCUCCUCCGCCUCCUCCGGCCUGGCCCUGCCCGACUACACCCGCUUCUCCCCGGCCAAGAUCGCCCUCCGGAGGCACCUCAACCAGGACCACGUGGCGGGCGCCAAGGUCGCGUGCGGCGAGAACCACCAGAGGGUGGAGCACCUCAAGGAGAACGGCCUGACCUUCCCGAGCCCGCCCGUGUCCAACGGCAUCAAGAUGAGCCCGGCGGACACCCGCCCGUCUUCUCCCGCCGCCAACGAGAAGGCCUUGCGCGAGAGCCGGGCAUGCGUGAGCAGCGGGGAGACCAUCACCAGCCUGCCCAUCAGCAUCCCGCUCAGCACCGUCCAGCCCAACAAGCUCCCCGUCAGCAUCCCCCUGGCCAGCGUGGUCCUCCCCAGCCGGGCCGAGAAGGUGCGGAGCACCCCCAGCCCUGUCCUCCAGAACCGCGACUCCUUUUCCACACUUGAAAAACAACAUGGUGCUAAUUCUCACAACGGCGCUAACCACAAGCCACUCACCUUGGCUACCUCAGGUUUUUCGUACGUGUCUGGUUCCGGGAUCCUUCCGGGCAGCCCGGCCCCGCUGAGCCACGGCAUGGACCACGCGGCCCUGGAGGACGUCUCCAGCUCGGGGAGCCUCUUCACCUCCUCGGGGUCUCGCAGCUCGACGCCCAUGCUGGCCAUGCCCUCGCGGACCACCUCGGGGCAGAGCUCGCCGGCCCACUCGGCCAGCCCGCGCCUGAACGGGGUGCUGCAGUACGUGGAGGGGCAGAAGGCCUUCUCGGAGGGCGAGCCGGCCUUCUCGGACCCGGAGAGCGAGGGCAAGCGGAGGAUCAUCUUCACCCUGAGCAAGCACAGCCCGCUCUCGGCCAGCGUCCGGGUGGAGUGCGGCCCAGCCUACGCGCAGGACGGGAAGAAGCGCGGGCGGAGGAAGCGCUCGUCCGCCGGAGCUCUCAGCGUGUCGCCCAAGCGCAAAUCUCUCCCCGCCGUGGCCGGGCUCUUCGCUCAGCCCUCGGGCUCUCCCUUGAAUAUCAACUCCAUGGUCAGUAACAUUAACCAGCCUUUAGAAAUAACGGCCAUUUCUUCCCCCGAAACCUCCCUGAAGAAUUCUCCUGUUCCGUACCAGGACAACGACCAGCCGCCGGUGCUGAAGAAGGAGAAGCCCCUUCCCCAGGCCAACGGCAUCCACUACUCGCCCCUCACGUCCGACGAGGAGCAGGCCUCCGAGGACGACCGGAACAGCGCCAGGAUCGAGAGGAAGAUCGCGACGAUCUCGCUGGAAAGCAAAUCCCCGCAAAAGUCGAUGGAAAACAGCCUCACGUUAGCCGGGCGGAAGCAGUCCGGCGAGAGCGUGAACAGCAGCAAGUGGAAGUCGACCUUCUCGCCCAUCUCGGACCUCAACCUGACCAAGACGCUGGACAGUCCCUUGCAGGCGAUGCCGCUGAACCAGAACUCCCUCUUCGCCGGGUUCAGGCCGUCCGCGGAGGACGGCGCGACCGGAGACGCCAAGGCCGCCCUGAGGAAGCACGUCUCUGACCAGAACGGGUUUGCUUACAACGGCGGGCUCUCGGAGGUCAAUUUGCACGGCUUUAUCGACGGCGCCGGGUUGUCGCAGAAGAGCCUCGACGUGGUGCAACGGGCCUCCGAGACAAACCCGUUCCUGAGCAAAAGCCUGGGGAAAGACGGCCACGAGCUCCGCCAGGCCAGCAAAGCCGGGAAAGGACGGGAGCGGGACGUGGUGGAGUUCAAGAACGGGCACAACCUCUUCAUCGCCGCCGCCCCCUCCGGCGGGCUCCUCAACGGCAAAGGACUCUCUCCUUCCGGGGGGUCGCCCGUCGUGGUCUCCUCCGCCGCCGUGGCCCAGGCGCACCACUCGUUCCUGAACUCGCCGUUCCCCCUGGGGCCCAUGGUGACCAACCCCUCGGUACUCCAGUCCUUGUUUAACUCGAUGCCGGCCGCCGGCCUGGUCCACGUCUCCUCGGCCACCACCCGCCUGACCAACUCCCACCCCAUGGGGGGCUUCUCUCCCGGGGUGACGGGCGGAACAGUCGGAGGUAUUUUUAACCAUGUGGUGCCUCCCGCUUCCUCCUCCUCUCCCUCUAUAUCCGCCGCCUCUUUUGCUCCCUCCGUAUCCGCGUCUUCCUUCGCUCCCUCCGUAUCCGUGUCUUUUGCUCCCUCCGUAUCCGCAACCUCCUUCGCUCCCUCCGUAUCCGCCGUGCUCGGCUUGAAUGUUUUGCCGGUAGCCCCGCCCGCCAACGAGGACCUCCGCGUCCCCGCUCCCCCCAACGUCUCCCUCCUCACCCCGCACCCCGAGUCCCUCCUCUUCCCCGGUCUCUCCGCCCUCCCGCCCUCCUCUUCCUCCUCCGCCGCUAACUCCGCUUUGUCUGUCAAACUAGCGUCACUCCAGCACAAAACCUCCCGCCCUUCCUUCACCGUCCACCACCCGCCUCUGCCUCGCUUGGCCCCGGCCGCGGCCCCCCCACAGACCGCCCCGGCCGCGAUGUGGGUCGCCCUGGGCACGCAGCCGCCUUACGCCUCGCACCUGCCGGGGGUUAAGCCGCGGUAAGGAUGGCCGACCCCCCGCCGGGACCCCCCGAGUCGCCAGUGCUCCGCAAGGUAACUAAGACUUCUACCUCAACCCAACGUUGACCUAUGCAAGGACGACCGGGACCAACGUCUUCUCAGCUUCCACCGAAGGUGCUGUUUUGCUUCGGCAGCUAUCCAAGCGUUUCUCCUUCCCUUCCUUCCUUCCUUUUUUUCGUUCUUCCUCGGUGUGUUUCUUUUACUACUGGACAGAAAACAAUCAUAAAAAAAUGAGAAAAAAUUCUACUGUGAAUCUUAAGUUAAAUAUAUAAAGAUAUAUAUAUAAAUAUAUAUAUUCCAAGUUCAGAAUGCGUAGGAUCCGCCUCCGGUUUGUUACUGUCGAUAGAUUUAGAUAUUUAUAUAUCUAUAUAUAUAUUUUUAAAAGGUGUCAAACACACACGGGCGCGGCGUUAUUUUUUGCGGGGAGUCGGUCCGAAGGAAGGCGAUUGAGCAUGCUCGGUUUUUUUAUUAUUAUUAUUAUUAUUAUUUCGGGGUGGAAAUAAAUGACUGGCACACCAGCAGAGACGUCACAAAAAAAUAAUAAAAAGGCUUUCUUGUGGUGCUAUCGACUUCCAGCAGGAACUGUGCCUGUCCGGUUUCAGAAAUGUGGUGCUUUUACUUGGUUUUUUAAAAAAAAAAUAUGGCGAAAAGUGAGGCUGACGUUGUUUUGUUGUGUAUUUAUUCCCGAACGGCGCAAAAUGGAGCAAAAACGAGAGUUUCUCCUAUUGCGUCCUUCGCUAACUGGUCCGGACUCCGACGUAAUUCCGAUUCCAAAGGGGAUAAUAAAUGCAUGGAUAUAUAUUUAUGUGUAUUUAUUCCCGAACGGCGCAAAAUGGAGUAAAAAUGAUAGUUUCUCCUAUUGCGUCCUUCGCUAACUGGUCCGGACGCUGACGUAAUUCCGAUUCCAAAGGGGAUAAUAAAUGCAUGGAUAUGUAUUUACGUGUAUUUAUUCCCGAACGGCGCAAAAUGGAGCAAAAACGAUAGCUUCUCCUAUUGCGUCUUUCACUAAAUGGUCCGGACAUCGACGUAAUUCCGAUUCCAAAGGGGAUAAUAAAUGCAUGGAUAUAUAUUUAUGUGUAUUUAUUCCUGAACGGCGCAAAAUGGAGCAAAAACGAUAGUUUCUCCUAUUGCGUUCUUCGCUAACUGGUCUGGACGUCGACGUAAUUCCGAUUCCAACGGGGAUAAUAAAUUCAUGGAUAUAUAUUAUUAUUAUUAUUAUUAUUAUUAUUAUUAACUUUAUUUUUGUACCCCGCCUUCAUCUCCCCAUAGGGACUCGAGGCACCUAACAUGGGGCCAAACAAGUAUAAUACAACAAAAUAAAAUAUAUACAAGAGACACAACAACACCCGGUAAAAAUGCUUAUACAAUAACAUAGUGAAACUAAACAUAAUUAAUAAUAAUAAUAAUAAUAAUAAAACUUUAUUUAUACCCCGCCAACAUCUCUCUGCGGGGACUCGUAACAGUAAUAUAAUAAAACGAGAGUAUUUCUUCGACCUUGAGGACCCUUCUUCUUCGCCGCUUUUUUACAAAUUCUUUCCGAUUUUCUGCACCUGAUUCUCUCCCCAAUCAGAAGCAGACUUAUAUUUCUGUCUAAACUAAUGUUAUCAUAGGUUGCUAAACUCCUCUCCUUAACUGCGGGGUAUAAAUAAAGUUAAUUUUAUAUAUAUAUAUAUCUUAAUUCUGGUUCAGUCGGGAGAAUAUUCAUGGUGCUUGUUUGUGACUCGAAAUAUUCGGGCACCCAGGUGCGUCUUAACAGGGGUGCCUCUGCCUUAGGCGGAGUCGAAACCAUCACCCCUUUGGACUUCGGUGCUCAUCGUCCCCAAAAUGCGUUUCCCGAAAUCCCCAGACUUCGUCGGCGGGUGCGAAACAUCACAAUUGAGGGAACUCCGGAAACUCGGUGGACGAAAACAGCCCCAAAGCUGCUUACAACACAUUUGGACUCUGCUCGUUGAGUCCAGUUUGGGGUCUUCCUUGUGUUCUAGAGCUCCCAUUCGUUGGGGACGCUGGGUGUUGCACUCCAUGGUAUUUUAGUUCCCUUUAUUUAAUGUCGACCGCUCCUUUUGGAUACUUGAUUGUUGCGGAAAAGCGUUCGGCUCCUACAAUGUUUUGUCCUUUUGCUGGUUCUUUGCUUUGCUUUUUGGUCUCGCUUUGGCGCCGUUUCUUUGCUUUGCUUUGUUGUCGCGGCGAUUGAAUCGUUUCUAUGAGGGUCGGGCUUCCGUCUCCACUUUCCCACAAAGCCCGGUGUGUUUUAUUUAAUGUUGACCGGAAAAGCGUUCGGAUCCUACAAUGUUUUCUCCUUUUGCCGGUUCGUUGCUUUGCUUUUUGGUCUCGCUUUGGCGCCGUUUCUUUGCUUUUUUGUCUCAGCUAUUGAAUCGACCGCUCCUUUUGGAUACUCGAUUGCUGCAGAAAAGUGUUCAGCUCCCACGAAGUUUUCUCCUCUUGUCGGAUCUUUGCUUUGCUUUUUUGUCUCGCUUUGGCGCUGUCUGGUGAUUGAAUUGUUUCUAUGAUGGUCAGGCUUCCGUCUCCACUUUCCCAAAAAGCCCGGUGUGUUUUAUUUAAUGUUGACCGCUCUUUUUGGAUACUUGAUUGCUGCGGAAAAGCAUUCGGCUCCCGUGACGUUUUCUCCUCUUGCCGGUUCUUUGCUUUGCUUUUUGGUCUCGCUUUGGCGCAUUUUCUUUGCUUUUUGGUCUCGGCUAUUGAAUUGACCGUUCCUUUCGGAUACUUGAUCGCUGCCGAAAAGCGUUCGGCUCCCACGACUUUUUCUCCUCUUGCCGGUUCAUUGCUUUGCUUUUUGGUCUCGCUUUGGCACCAUCUGGUGAUUGAAUCAUUUCUAUGAGGGUCAGGCUUCCGUCUUCACUUUCCCACAAAGCCCGGUGUGUUUUAUUUAACGUUGACUGCUCUUGUUGGAUACUUGAUUGCUGCGGAAAAGCAUUUGGCUCCUACGACGUUUUCUCCUCUUGCCGGUUCUUUGCUUUGCUUUUUGGUCUCGCUUUGGCGCAUUUUCUUUGCUUUGCUUUUUUGUCUCAGCGAUUGAAUCGACCGCUCCCUUUGGAUACUCGAUUGCUGCAGAAAAGCAUUCGGCUCCCGCGACGUUUUCUCCUCUUGCCGGUUCUUUGCUUUGCUUUUCGGUCUCGCUUUGGCGCCGUUCCUUUGCUUUGCUUUUUUGGCUCGCUUUGGCACCGUUUUUGUAUCGCACUUAAUAUACUUUCUUUUUUAAAAAAAGAAGUAAUUUGUGACCUGUGAUCGGUGUACAAAAUUAGUGUUUUUUUAAAGGCAGUGCUGAUUAUUUUUUAGUGACAGAUUUUUUUAAUACACACACACAUAUAUAUAAGGUGCGCUAACGCUUUUGGGAUUCAAACCAGGAAGCUUGGCUUUAUUUAUUCGAACCUGCACUCGAUCCUCGAUCGGCCGUGAUAACGCAAUAAUCGGUGUCAUUUUAGCCAUCUUAACGGUGCUCCCGUGUUGUACAACGUACCAGGAAUCACAUCACAAAGAAAUAAGCUCUGAAGCUGUGUUUGCUGAUCGAAUCUCGGCGAGCACGGAUUCGGGAAAGACCAGACAAAUGAGAUUUGUCUCGUUUUUCCCUUUUAGUGCAGCUGGGAAUCAAAUUCAAGGAGGGUUGAAAAGCUUCUCGCGUCCCGUUCAAAUGGGCGAAAGAUCUUCAAGAUCCCGCAUCUUAAAAACAAUGUUGGUGCUACGUACACAAUACUGGUUUUACAACCCAGCCUCCUGCUAGGACCGGGUGCUAAAAUAUACGGGCGAGGAUAUGUCUCGUCUUUUCGUUUUUCUUGUCGGGUCGUACCACGUUUUUUUGACUCCUUCAACAACUUAACCCUCACCCUCUUCUUUCUGGUGCACAACAUGGUGCUAUGGGUUGUGUGUUUGCCUGUCCGGUGUGGGAUCUUGCCUUCUCCGUGGCUGUUUUCGGGCGUUGCCGCAGACCAUCUCCCAUCCCUUGCCAUUUUUAUCAACACAAGCAAAGGUGUUAUUGAAGGUUCUCGUGGCUGAAAUCAGCAGAAUUGCGGUGAGUUUUCUGUGUCUGGGCAUGUUCCGGAAGCAUUCUCUCCUGACGUUUCGCCCACAUCGAUAGAUACGAUAUCCGCUGUGCGUCUUACCCAAGCAUCCCCCACGUACCUGUCCUUUUCCAUCCAAACCAUGAGUCCUCUUCAUCCUUUCCAAUGAAAUGGCGAAUUAUAAUUUUUACACGCUGGUUUAGUGACUCGUCGUACCGUGAGAUAGAUUUUGAUAAUUCUUCGAUGGUUAAGAAAGGGCUAAAUUGAGACACAUUCGCCUUCGGUCUCAAUUUACCGACAAACAUAAUAAACACACACUUCCCAGCUAUCGGCUGAAACCAGCGACACAUGAAUUUAUUAAAGUAAAAAACGUCGAUCAUGUCGGAUGCUUAAAUGUUACGCUCCGGCGAGACUAUGUAAAUAGUGUAUAUUAAUUCAAUAAAGAUAAGAACCGCUGGUUUCAGCCGAUAACUGGGAAGUGUGCAUUUAUUUCUGUGCGAGGGUUAAAUUGAGACACAUUCGCCUUCAGUCUCAAUUUACCGACAAACAUAAUAAACACACACUUCCCAGCUAUCAGCUGAAACCAGCGGCACAUGAAUUUAUUAAAGUAAAAAACGUCGAUCAUGUCGGAUGCUUAAAUGUUACGCUCCGGCGAGACUAUGUAAAUAGUGUGUAUAUUAAUUCAAUAAAGAUAAGAACCGCUGGUUUCAGCCGACAACUGGGAAGUGUGCAUUUAUUUCUGUGUGAGGGUUAAAUUGAGACACAUUCGCCUUCAGUCUCAAUUUACCGACAAACAUAAUAAACACACACUUCCCAGCUAUCAGCUGAAACCAGCGGCACAUAAAUUUAUUGAAGUAAAAACGUCGAUCAUGUCGGAUGCUUAAAUGUUACGCUCCGGCGAGACUAUGUAAAUAGUGUAUAUUAAUUCAAUAAAGAUAAGAGCCGCUGGUUUCAGCCAACAACUGGGACUAAGAUUGCUAGAUCGCCAGAGAAGAAGGUAAAUUGAGACAGAAUGUGAAUGUGUCUCAAUUUAACCCUCUCUUGACAAAUCUGUUUUCUCUGCGCGAGAAUCGGUCGGCGACAGGAACGAACUGCUGCUCAGGAAUUCGUUUGUAAGAUACGUAUAAAUAUAUCUGUACAAAAGAGAAAGGAAUUUGUGUGUAAAUGGAUCAAAGGGAGUACAAAGGGUGAUGAAUUAUGGGAGUAUUUUCUUUCAUUAUUAUUAUUAUUUUGUACCCCAUGGAAAUGAGCUUUAUUUAAAACCCAACAGCAGCGUUCUUUCGAUUUUUGUCUCGUUCUUUUCCGAUUCCGCUCCCAUCCCUUUGUUUCGCCCGUCAUUCUUCCAUGUCGAGCUCACACGCGUGUGUGUAUAUAUGUAAUGAUGAUAUUAAUGAUGAUGAUGAUAAUAAUUAUCUAUAUAUAUUUUUUCCUGGUCCUUUGCACCGCAAAGUUGUUUUCCUUCCGUUCUAACCUCCGCUCCGGAAUAAUCGCCUUCCACUAUCUCACCUUGGUUUGUAAUUUUUUGGGGGGAAAAAGGCUUUGGAGUUUUUGUCUUUAUAUUAAAACGAAAUGUAUGUAUUUUAAUACACCGUAAACCCAU